GGGGUUCCUAGUUCUAAUUUACUUUAGUAGUAAGUUAGAGUGUUCAAAGCCAGCCUCUUGGGGCAUUGAAUAGAUUAGCAUGGGAUAAUAGAAUAGGACUCUUGUCUUUUUAUUGGUUUAAAAGAUUUAGAGUAAUGAUUAAUAGGGAUAGUUGGGGCACUUGUAUUCAAUAGUCAGAGGUGAAAUUCUAGGAUUUAUUGAAGACAAACUUCAGCGAAAGCAUUUGCCAAGGAUGUUUUCAUUAAUCAAGAACGAAAGUUAGGGGAUCGAAGACGAUUAGACACCGUCGUAGUCUUAACUAUAAACUAUGCCGACCAGGGAUAUGAGGAACUACAUUAUAAUAUUCAUUUAUUAUAAUUCCUUGUGCACCUUGUGAGAAAUCAUAAGUUUUUUGGGUUCUGGGGGGGAGUAUGGUCGCAAGGCUGAAACUUAAAGGAAUUGACGGAGGGUC
rnacentral:rRNA from 1 species